rnacentral:tRNA from 1 species
UGGUCUGUAGCUCAAUCGGCAGAGCGUCCGUCUCCAAAGCGGAAUGUCGCAGGUUCGAGUCCUGCCAGGCCAG